GAGAUUCCCCCAGUAGCGGCGAGCGAACGGGGAGCAGCCCGGAGUCUGAAUCAGCUUGUGUGUUAGUGGAAGCGUCUGGAAAGUCGCAGGGUACAGGGUGAUACUCCCGUACACUAAAGCACACAGGUUGUGAACUCGAAGAGUAGGGCGGGACACGUGGUAUCCUGUCUGAAUAUGGGGGGACCAUCCUCCAAGGCUAAAUACUCCUGACUGACCGAUAGUGAACCAGUACCGUGAGGGAAAGGCGAAAAGAAC
rnacentral:rRNA from 2 species